rnacentral:misc_RNA from 1 species
AUUAAUUCAAUAUUUCUCUGCAUUUUUAAGUGUUUUUUUUUUAAGUACAAAUCAAAGCACCAAAACCACUUUGGCUUCAAGUCAAAAGAAACUCCAAUCUAUCUUCUAUAGCACGCCCGAUCACUCAUCACCCCUUAUCCUACGCACCUUUGGCCGGCUUUCAACGUUUCAGAUCCUUCAUGCCAUAGCCAAGCUCACACUCCCUCUCUGGACUGAUUGAAGAUAGUUUCCUGUUCUUGUCUUAAGCGUUUCGCUGCAAAAUUUUCAAUAGGGGAAUUCUUAAAAGCUUGAAACAUGAGCUGCUUUGGCUGUUGUGAAGAAGAUGACAUGCAUAAAACAGCUGACAGUGGAGGCCCAUACCCUGUUAAAAGUUCAGCAGCAGGAAGCAUUGGAGGUUACCCUGCAUCAGAAAAAGCACCUAAGGGUGCUCAGGC